rnacentral:rRNA from 1 species
GACGAACGCUGGCGGCGUGCUUAACACAUGCAAGUCGAGCGAUGAAGCUUCUUCGGAAGUGGAUUAGCGGCGGACGGGCGAGUAACACGUGGGUAACCUGCCUCAUAGAGGGGAAUAACCUUCCGAAAGGAAGAUUAAUACCGCAUAAGAUUGUAAUAUCGCAUGAUAUAGCAAUUAAAGGAGUAAUCCGCUAUGAGAUGGACCCGCGUCGCAUUAGCUAGUUGGUGAGGUAACGGGUCACCAAGGCGACGAUGCGUAGCCGAACUGAGAGGGUGAUCGGCCACAUUGGGACUGAGACACGGCCCAGACUCCUACGGGAGGCAGCAGUGGGGAAUAUUGCACAAUGGGGGAAACCCUGAUGCAGCAACGCCGCGUGAGGGAUGACGGUCUUCGGAUUGUAAAACUCUGUCUUCAGGGACGAUAAUGACGGUACCUGAGGAGGAAGCCACGGCUAACUACGUGCCAGCCGCCGCCGUAA